rnacentral:sRNA from 1 species
CGGCUUGGAUCUGAUCUGCAGAUAUGAAAUGUAUGUGAGAGUCGAUUCCGCCUGCGGUGAGAAUCAUUUUUUCUCCGGCGAUUAUCUCUGUGCUCGCACCGAUUUCAAUCGUGACACCUUUGGAGACGAGAGAGUUUCCCGCGCUUCCGAUCGCUAAAAUCAAGCCAUCUCGGAUAGCGAUGUCAGCUUUAUAAAUUCCACUGUGGUCCAGAAUUAGCACAUUGGUGAUGACAAGAUCUGGCGCACCCAUUGAGCGUGUAAUGAUUGGGUUCUGACCCAUUGAAUCACGG